rnacentral:rRNA from 1 species
AGAGUUUGAUCCUGGCUCAGAGUGAACGCUGGCGGCAGGCCUAACACAUGCAAGUCGAACGGCAGCACAGCAGUAGCAAUACUGUGGGUGGCGAGUGGCGGACGGGUGAGGAAUGCGUCGGAAUCUGCCUAUUUGUGGGGGAUAACGUAGGGAAACUUACGCUAAUACCGCAUACGACCUACGGGUGAAAGUGGGGGACCUUCGGGCCUCACGCAGAUAGAUGAGCCGACGCCGGAUUAGCUAGUUGGCGGGGUAAAGGCCCACCAAGGCGACGAUCCGUAGCUGGUCUGAGAGGAUGAUCAGCCACACUGGGACUGAGACACGGCCCAGACUCCUACGGGAGGCAGCAGUGGGGAAUAUUGGACAAUGGGCGCAAGCCUGAUCCAGCCAUGCCGCGUGUGUGAAGAAGGCCUUCGGGUUGUAAAGCACUUUUGUCCGGAAAGAAAUCCUUUCGAUUAAUACUCGGGAGGGGUGACGGUACCGG